rnacentral:rRNA from 1 species
GGAUUAGAUACCCUGGUAGUCCACACCGUAAACGAUGUCUACUAGCUGUUUGUGCGAUUUAAGCGUGAGUAGCGCAGCUAACGCGAUAAGUAGACCGCCUGGGGAGUACGGCUGCAAGGUUAAAACUCAAAUGAAUUGACGGGGGCCCGCACAAGCGGUGGAGCAUGUUCUUAAUUCGAAACAACGCGAAGAACCUUACCUGGGCUUGACAUGUAUGGAUUAGGUUAUGGAAACAUAAUUGACGCGGCUUGCCGUGGAACAUACACAGGUGCUGCAUGGCUGUCGUCAGCUCGUGUCG